UCCCGAAUAGCUCAGUCGGUUAGAGCAUCUGACUGUUAAUCAGAGGGUCGCUGGUUCGAGCCCAGCUUCGGGAG
rfam:Fibrisoma limi BTZ 3, type strain:BTZ 3, WGS project CAIT01000000 data, contig: 4